UGAAAACCCUUCAGUAAACUAUAUUGUGUUUGAGUCGAUGUGUGAAGUGUGUUGAUGUUAUUUUAGUACAUUGUAAAAACAAUGGGUGUGCAUUAUCACUGUAAAUAGAGAAAAUAAAACUAUUGUUGGGUAACCUUUUAACAAUACUAUCAGCUAUGGCCACUACAAAUAAAAGAUUGAAGAAGUAUGAGAGUAAAGAAAAAAGAGAAGAGAGGUAUUCGAUUAUCAGUCUUGGAGGUUAG
rnacentral:lncRNA from 1 species